GACAGCGACGGGCGAAGCUCCGGGCGUGGCGUUGGCAUGUCCUCGGGGAAGACACAGCCAACGGCGACGGUUGUUCGGAAAACCUUGUCAAAGGGGUAGAGAGGGGUCACGGGAGUCGUUCUGUGCAAUGAAUUCAGGAAUGAGGAAUCGGAGCGAGCUCACCGUGGACAAAGGAGGCGACGGACGGUGAAGGAAGACGGCCAUAGCAUGCGAUCUACAAAGCUCCAUAGGAAAAACUCUCAAUAAGAAAACGGGGGAGGAUGGCCAAAGGUUCGAAGUGACGCGCUCGGAAUCGUCCUUUAUAGACCGAGGAGGGAGAUCGGGCAUGGAUGUCGACAGGCGGCAUUAGGGGCUGGCCAUUAAUGGCUAGAGGCCGUGAUUGAGGAAUUUAAGGAGGGGAUUAGAGAGAGGAGGGCCGUGGGGUGCGGUUUAGUGCACCUGGACGGGCCGAGCGGGGAGGGGGCGUGGUCGGCGGCGUAGAUCAUGGCGUGAUGGCGCUGUUCUGUCUUGCGUGCGGGAGGAGGAAGACGAGCUCGUACUCGUGCUCGCUGGGCUGGGCUGAUGGGGCUCAGCCGGGACAUGGGCCAGGAGGGAGAGGGGCCAAGGCCCAGAGGAAAAAGAAGAAUGAAAAAAAACGAAGGGGAAGGGAGAAGAUGGGCUGGGCUGGUUCGGUGAUGUUGGGCCAGCUGGAGAGGCUUCGGCCCAUAAAGAAAAAGAAAAGAAGGAGGAUGGGCUGCGGCCAGGGGGAAAAGAGAUGGGCCGGCUGAAAAGAUGGGUUUCGACCCGGAGAUAGGUUUAGGCCUUUUUAUGGCCUUUUCUAAUACAAAUAAAAUCACUGAAAUUCGAAUAUGGUUUUAUAAAUACCAUAUGAACUCCAU
rnacentral:lncRNA from 1 species